UACGAAGGGGGCUAGCGUCGCUCGGAUUUACUGGGCGUAAAGGGCGCGUAGGCGGACAUUUAAGUCAGGGGUGAAGUCCCGGGGCUCAACCUCGGAACUGCCUUUGAUACUGGGUGUCUUGAGUAUGAGAGAGGUAUGUGGAACUCCGAGUGUGGAGGUGAAAUUCGUAGAUAUUCGGAAGAACACCAGUGGCGAAGGCGACAUACUGGCUCAUUACUGACGCUGAGGCGCGAAAGCGUGGGGAGCAAAAGGG
rnacentral:rRNA from 1 species